UGUUCUUCUCUUCUCUCUCUCCACUGAUCUUGGUCUCCUUCCUCCUCCAGCAAACCACCCAUCUUGGUCUCCUUCCUCCUUGGACAACCCCCCAUCUCGGUCCCCUUCGCCCUUCGAGAACCUCCCCUUCCUAGUCGCCUUUCUCCUCUGAGAAAUCGCCCAUUUCGGUCCCCUUUCCUCUCCAAAAACCCCCCUGUCUCAAUCGAUUUCUUCCUCUGAGAACCCCCCCAAUCUCAGUCCUCUUCCUCCUCCCAAAACCCCCCAUCCCUGUACCCUUCCUCCUUCGAUAACCCCCCCAUCCCGGUCCCUUUCCUCUUCCGACAACCCCCCCAUCCCAGACGUCGAAAAGAACCACAUCCUCCUCUCUCUCUUUCUCUCCACCUCUCUCAUCGUAUUUUUUCUCUCGGAUGCGAUGUAAGGGGACGCGCGCCCCUCCUCCUGUCUCUUCUCCCUCUCUCUUCCUUUCAAAACCUUAGCCGACCUCGUCGCAUUCCAUUCGUCGUCGGCUCUUCCCCAACCGUCAAUUCUCACCCUUUUCUCCUCUUUCUCUCCAAGCGCUGGUUCUCAUCCACUGCAGGCAUUUUCUCGUCGCUACCUGUUAUGGCCCUCAAUCGGCACUGCCACCACCCCCAAUCGGCUCUUUCCUUGAUCGCUGUGGCCACGCCAAUGCCACCAACUCCAUCAUUGAAAUCGCCCUCUCCCCACCGUCGUCGUCGGCGAUCGUCUCCUAUAAUAGUUCGUUCGAAGUUCUCAAGAAGUCGAGAGAGGAGCUCUUGAGCUUCGAGGAAGCAAAAGAGAGCUUUCCUCUGAUUGAUAAAUUAUCGCUGCUAUCUGCGGCGAUAUGUGGACUUUAUCAGGGGCAUCUGAGAGCUAUUGACGGAUGCCCAUAGAAGAUUGAUAUAGGAGACACCCUUCCACUAUAUGCUUGACAUCCCAAUCAUCACACAGGAGGGGGCACUUGUAAACCAACUCCUUUGUUGCUGGGACGAGAGCAGGAGGAGAUUUCAUUUGGAAGGGCAGAUGUUGAUCUUCCGUGCUGAGGAUGUUGCUCUCAUUUUGGAGCUACUCUUGAAUGGGAUAGCCAUUGAUAUGAAAAAGGCUCCCCAUAGUGUAGUUAGGACCACAUAUUUUGCAGGGGGGAUAGUUAGGAGAGAUGUAUUGGAAGAUAGAAUCGAAGAAUUAUUAUCUGAUUCUUCUUCCAAUGGCAUCCGAUCCACGGUGCAAUUACUUAUUUCAUACCUUUUGGAUACAAUUUUGUUUUCUUUGUCAAAUCUUAACAUUGCACCGUGGAGCUUCUCCACUGUUGACCUUUUAGGGGACAUUGGCCGUUUUGCAUAGGCUAGAGCAGUCCACGAGCACCUCAUGAAAUUCAUUCCAGGGGCUAUGGAGAAGAUAAAGAGAAUGUCUUAAUGUAGCAUUGUUCUUUCUAAUGUAUGUUUCAAUUUUUUUCUCUUUUUAGAGUAUAUUGUUGGGCAUAUGGAAGGUUUUCGAUAAAGCUAUACGAGACUUCAUGCCUUAUUUAUUGACUGAAGUCAAACAGAUAUUCGUGCCCAUAUGCACCAUGCCAUCUAAUGGUAUGCUCCAAAUAUGACUCAAUAUUGUGCUUAUUAUUUAUGCCAACUAAUAUCCGUGCCAACCAAUCCAAGAUAUCAUUUGUUUGUUUUAUUGAUUAUGAGCAUGAAAAAUUUUGUAAGCCUGAUUGUGCCAUCUACAUCAUAUAUUUUAUAAAGAGUAUGGUGAUGAAAGGUAGCUCACAAUUAUCGAAGCUCGUGUAUCGAAGUUACGUGCUAAAUAUGCUGCACAAGUGAUCAUGAAGGGUUGCGAGGCACGAUCAUUAUAGUUUAUUUUAUGUUUCUUUUGUGACCACAUGUGUUGGGUCCACUCUUUAUGUAUGUUUGUGCUUGGUGUAUUCUGUCUAAAUAUUUGGAUGUAUUAUGAAUCUCUUAUGAAUAAACUUAUAUGAAAGCCUGUAAAAAAAAUUUUUUGAUUGCAAUGGAACUAUAAUUUUUAUGUA